rnacentral:rRNA from 1 species
CCUACGGGAGGCAGCAGUGAGGAAUAUUGGUCAAUGGUCGGGAGACUGAACCAGCCAAGCCGCGUGAGGGAGGAAGGUACAGAGUAUCGUAAACCUCUUUUGUCAGGGAACAAAGGCGGGGACGUGUCCCCGGAUGAGUGUACCUGAAGAAAAAGCAUCGGCUAACUCCGUGCCAGCAGCCGCGGUAAUACGGGGGAUGCGAGUGUUGUCCGGAUUGAUUGGGUUUAAGGGGUGCGCAGUGGGUCUGUUAAGUCAGCGGUCAAAGCCCGGGGCUCAACCCCGGCCCGCCGUUGAAACUGGCAGUCUCGAGUUGGAGAGAAGUAUGCGGAAUGCGCGGUGUAGCGGUGAAAUGCAUAGAUAUCGCGCAGAACUCCGAUUGCGAAGGCAGCAUGCCGGCUCCACACUGACGCUGAGGCACGAAAGCGUGGGUAUCGAACAGGAUUAGAUACCCCUGUAGUC